UGUUCAAAACAACAAAUUAAAUUAACACUAUUUAAUUGAAAAAAAAAUUGCAUCAAAGUUUGUUUCUGAAGUAAUUUGAAUGCAAGAUUGUUUAUAUUUCAUACAAUAGAAUGAAAAUCUAAUAAUUCGGUCCUAAAAUGUGGAGAUUGAAAGCCUUAAUUAAAAUAAAAUGGCAUGGUCAAAUUGAUAAUGGGAAUUUUGCUAAAGAAAAAGCUUAUGUGUAUGAUAAAAAUAUCUGUAAACUAUGUGUUCAAAACAACAUAUAAAAUUAAUAGUACUUAAUGAAAAUAAAAAUUUUGCCUCAAAAUUACACUAUUUAUUACAUAAGUUACUUAAUUACAUUUGUGUUUUUUUAAACAGGUGCAACUCCUACUAGUGUCACUUCAGUGCCAAGAGAAGAGACCAUUCUUUCUUCACAGACGUUGAGUGCAACUCCUACUAGUGUCUACUCAGCUCCAAGAAAGACAUUUGGGGCCACUCCUACAAGUGUCUCGUCAGUGCCAAGAGAAG